rnacentral:lncRNA from 1 species
UUUGCUACCAAAUUUUUAACCCUUGGAUGAAAAAUUGUAGGGUCAGAAUGAUAUUAGUCGGUUAGAGUUGAGUGGUCCCCCUAGGGUUGAGUGGUCCCUACUGGGUUAUAGUAUUUAAUCCAAUGGUUAGAAAUAAUGAAAAAGUUGAUCCAAAGGCUAAAAAACUGGUAGCAACAAUGAAAUUUUGCUAUUAAUAGUAGCCCAGUCCAACUCUAUAUAUAUAUAUAGUCCAGCUACUAUGCUAUCAGUAGCACGGAGUGCUCCGUGCUAUCAAGUUGUUUGCGAUGAUACGGCUUCCAAAUCGACGAUCGGCUCCGUUAGACUUGAUCUACACUAUUGAAAGUAUUUGGAAAUUAAAUUUCAGAUUUUUUCGACAUCAUUUGACUAGUGAUCAAAAGAUCUCAAAAUUGACAAUUUUAAUGACCGAUGUGGUGUGUUUGUGAGUUUGACAGUGUAAAACAAUCCAAAUGCGAUAAAAAUUUUAUAGAAAAUUAUUUUCACUAUUUAGAGUAAGAUCAGUAUAUCUGAUCUUGAAUUUAAAUCUUUUAUCAUCAUUUUUUAUGAGAUUUUUAUUUUCAACUGUUCAAUUUUAGACUACUUGUUUGAUAGGUAAAUGAUAUCGAAAAAUUAUGAAAUUUAGUUUCUAAAUACUUUAAAUAGUGUAGAUCAAGUCUAACGGAGCCGAUCAUCGAUUUGAAAGGCGCAUCAUCGAAAAUAACUUGGUAGCACGGAGCACUCCGUGCUACCGAUAGUAUAGUAGCCUACU